CCUACGGGAGGCAGCAGUCGAGAAUCAUUCACAAUGUGGGAAACCCUGAUGGUGCGACGCCGCGUGGGGGAAUGAAGGUCUUCGGAUUGUAAACCCCUGUCAUGUGGGAGCAAAUUAAAAGGAUAGUACCACAAGAGGAAGAGACGGCUAACUCUGUGCCAGCAGCCGCGGUAAUACAGAGGUCUCAAGCGUUGUUCGGAAUCACUGGGCGUAAGGCGUGCGUAGGCUGUUUCGUAAGUCGUGUGUGAAAGGCGCGGGCUCAACCCGCGGACGGCACAUGAUACUGCGAGACUAGAGUAAUGGAGGGGGAACCGGAAUUCUCGGUGUAGCAGUGAAAUGCGUAGAUAUCGAGAGGAACACUCGUGGCGAAGGCGGGUUCCUGGACAUUAACUGACGCUGAGGCACGAAGGCCAGGGGAGCGAAAGGGAUUAGAUACCCCAGUAGUC
rnacentral:rRNA from 1 species